UUGCUUGCCCUCUAGACUCCGAACAGCUUCCUUUGAUGGAAGCCAAGCCGGUUCUGCCGGGGUGCUCUUUACCGAGUGUCCCGUGCGGCCGGCCAGUUCACCUUGAAUAAAUGAGAGUGCUCAAAGCAGGCUACUCUGGAAUACAAUGCCCGAAUGUUAACUGCAUGGAAUGAUGGAAGAUGAUCUCGGUUCCAUUUUGUUGGUGGUGGGAGCCAGAGGUAAUGAUAAACAGGGACUGUCGGGGGCAUCCGUACUACGACGCGAGAGGUGAAAUUCAGUGACCGUCGUAGGACGAACAACAGCGAAAGCAUUUGCCAAGAAUGUCUUCGUUGAUCAAGAACGAAAGUUAGAGGAUCGAAGGCGAUCAGAUACCGCCCUAGUUCUAACCCUAAACGAUGCUGACUAGCAAUUCGCCGUCGUUAUUCCCAUGACGUGGCGAGACGCCCCCGGGAAACCUCAAGUUUUUGAGUUCCGGGGGUAGUAUGGUUGCAAAACUGAAACUUAAAGGAAUUGACGGAAGGGCACCACCAGGAGUGGAGCAUGCGGCUUAAUUUGAAUCAGCCAC
rnacentral:rRNA from 1 species